AGUCACUGACAUUAGAUACCCGGGUAGUCCCAGCCGUAAACUAUGCGCGUUAGGUGUACUGGUGACCACGAGUCACCGGGGUGCCGAAGGGAAACCGUGAAACGUGCCGCCUGGGAAGUACGGUCGCAAGGCUGAAACUUAAAGGAAUUGGCGGGGGAGCACCGCAACGGGAGGAGCGUGCGGUUUAAUUGGAUUCAACACCGUAAAACUCACCAGGGAAGACUGUUACAUGAAAGCCGAGAUGAAGACUCUGCUAGAUUUUCAG
rnacentral:rRNA from 1 species